UGAAUCUUUUGUUCCAUUCACUGUGUAGCUUAAUUUACAUUUGUAACAAAAUGUUAGAAAUGCUCUGUUCAUGUUCGAUGAAAGUCCUCAACCACAACUUGACUAGCUGUAAUUUAGUACGACAAAUGAAUGACUGGCUGAAUUAGUCAUCACACAAAUAGGUCAACAGUGACUCGUUUAACGAUUGUAAUAACAGAGUUGGAGUUUUAGUUAUGCAGAAGAUGGAUCAAACACCUUUGGCAUCAACCUUGUUAUCCCCCCCUUAUGUACUUCUUCUUCUACUACCUCUUGUCUUCAUCAUCCACAAAUAUUUUACCUCCGUUUCUUCGAAAAGCCGACCUCUUCCUCCAGGUCCGAGGCCAUGGCCAAUCAUAGGAAACAUUCAUCAAAUUGGGAAAAACCUUCAUAUCUCCCUUACCCAUUUUGCCAAACUUUAUGGCCCUCUCAUUUCACUAAGACUCGGCACUCGAGUCGUCGUUGUCGCCUCUUCUCCUAUGGCUGCAAGUGAAAUUCUCAAAACUCAUGACCGCUUGCUUUCUGCUAGAAGUAUACAGAAAGCACUCCCGUAUAAGAUCUGUGAUGUUGAUCGUGUAGCCAUUGUUUGGGCUUCCACUUGCAAUGACAGAUGGAAGUCAUUGCGGGCCUUGUGCAGGACCGAGCUUUUCUCCAACAAGGCAAUCGAAUCACAGGCUGCAAUGAGGGAGAAGAAAAUGACAGAGAUGGUGGAGUUUUUGAGUACAAAGCAAGGACAGGUAGUCAAUCUUGGUGAGGUUGUGUUUACUUGUGCUUUUAACACGAUUUACAAUCUUUUAUUCUCGAGGGACUUGCUUAGUUUUGAAGAGGAAGAUAAGAAUAGCGGACUGAAAAAGGUGACAUCGAGAUUGAUGGAGCUGACCGUUGCUCCAAAUAUAGCUGAUUUCUAUCCAAUAUUGUCUAGGUUAGAUCCUCAAGGUAUGCAAAAGGAGAUGUCUCAGUGCAUGAAAGAAAUCUUUGCAGCUUGGGAAAGUCACGUCAAGGAAAGAAGAGAAACCCAUGUCCAUGGCUCUCCUAUAAUUGAUUUCUUGGGUGUUUUUCUUGCCAAUGAUUUUGAUGAUGAUCAGAUCAAUUGGUUGGCUUUUGAAUUGUUGCUAGCAGGCUCAGAAACUACAAGCACAGCAAUAGAAUGGGCAAUGACUGAACUGCUUAAGAACAAACAAGUCAUGGAAAAAGCUUGUGAAGAAGUGGAUAUAGAAAUUAAACUUAACUCGAUGAAGGAAUCUGAUAUUUCUAAACUCGAGUAUCUAAAUGCAUGUGUAAAGGAAUCUCUAAGAUUGCAUCCUCCUGUUGCAUUCCUCCUUCACCGUGCUUUGGAAACAUGUGAAGUUAUGAAUUAUACAGUUCUAAAAGAUGCUCAAAUUUUGGUGAAUAUAUGGGCUAUCGGGAGGGAUCCCUCAGUUUGGGAAGAGCCGUUGCUGUUCAAUCCAAGCAGGUUUCUGAGCUCAAGUGUUGACUUCAAAGGACAUGAUUUUGAGCUAAUCCCAUUUGGAUCGGGAAGAAGAAUUUGUGUUGGACUACCAAUGGCUACAAGGCAGCUUCACUUGAUUUUGGCCACUUUGAUACAUCACUUUGAUUGGUCUCUUCCAAACGGUGGGGAUUUUGUCAGCUUAGAUAUGACUGAAAAGUUUGGUCUAACAUUGCAGAAGCGACAACCUUUGUUUCUCGUUCCCUCAAGACGAAGAUUAUAGUGAACUUUAACAUUUCUAUUGUUUUAUCUUAUCUGGUCAGAGAAAUGCCUGUUACACAGUCCAUCAAGUUCUCUGAACGACAAGAAGAGGCGAAUCCUUGGUCAGUGUGAUUCCAAAUCUAUCAUUCAUAUCCAGCGAUGAAUGAACAGACCAAUCAAAGCCAUGAAUCAAAGAGGCUAAGAUCAACACAAGCUGUCUCGAAGCCACUGCUAGUCCUGGACACACCCUUCGUCCUGAACCAAACGGUAACAACUGAAAAUCAUGACCUUUAAACUCCACAUUUGGCAGCACAAAUCUUUCCGGUUUAAACCUAAGCGGAUCUUUCCAUACUGAUGGAUCGCGUCCUAUUGCCCAAACAUUCACAAGUACUUGAGAAUCCUUUGGAAUUAUAUAGCCCAUAACUUCACAAGUCUCUGCUGCUCGACGUGGAAUCAGAAAUGGAGCUGGAGGGUGUAAUCUUAAUGUUUCUUUUACACACGCAUUCACAUACUCGAGCUUAGAAAUAUCAGAUUCUUUUAUGUUGCUGCGCUGGAUUUCUGUAUCAACCUCUUCUGCAACAUUUUGUAAGAUUGCUCUUUCUUUCAGUAGCUCAGUCAUCGCCCAUUCUACUACUGUGGUAGUAGUGUCCACCCCUGCAGCAAACAGUUCCUACACCAAAAGAUUAUUGAUAAGUUGAUAUCUAUGUAGCACGGAAACAGAAAUAUUGAAAUAGAAUUCAACUAAACGACAUAAGAACAGCUUAUACAUAGAGUUUAAGAAUUUGAGAAAUGAAAAUAAAAUGCCGAAAAUGUACUUACAAGAACCAACCAAUUGAUUUGAUGAUCAUCAAAUCCUUUAGAAAGAAAAAUAUCUAAAAAAUCUUUCUGUGGCGAA